UUAAGGUUAACCUGCCCACUGAUUAAUUAAAUGGCCGCAGUAAUUUGACUGUGCAAAGGUAGCAUAAUCAUUAGUUUUUUAAUUAAAAGCUUGUAUGAAUGAUUGGACGAGAUAAAAUCUGUCUCUUAUUAAAAAUUAGAAUUUAAUUUUUAAGUUAAAAAGCUUAAAUUUUUAUAAAAGACGAGAAGACCCUAUAGAUUUUUAUUUUUAUUUAUUUAUAUAAUAUAAAGAUUUAUUAGUUUUAUAUAUUAGAUAAAAAUUUUAUUGGGGUAAUAAAAAGAUUAAUAAAAUUCUUUUGAAAUUUAAUAUAGAUUAAUAAGUAUUUGAUCCAUAAUAAUGAUUAUAAGAUUAAGUUACCUUAGGGAUAACAGCGUAAUUUUUUUAGAGAGUUCUUAUCGAUAAAAAAGUUUGCGACCUCGAUGUUGGAUUAAAAUUAAUUUUAAAUGCAGAAGUUUAAAAUUUUAGUCUGUUCGACUAUUAAAUUUUU
rnacentral:rRNA from 1 species